UGUCGGUGGGAGAAACUGACUUCGACUUUACCCAUCAGUCAGUCUUUUUCUCUCUCCUAUA
rnacentral:pre_miRNA from 1 species